AAGGAUUUAAGUUAAGCACAAACUUGGAACCUUCAAAGUUCCCAAUAAAGGGGGUCUUUUAAGCCUUG
rnacentral:tRNA from 1 species